ACCCCACCCCUCCCUGAGAAUGUAUAAACAGUUAAUGGUUGCUACAGCAAAGAGGAAGGUUUCUUCAAGGUGUAGCCACUGUGUUUUGAAAGUGAAUCUUCAAGCAAGAACACUGCAACUGUAAACAAGGGCCACAGGGCAAGUCCCAGAAAGCCAAGUCUUAAAGAAACGUGGAGCUCAGCAGCCCGUACGCAGAUCCUUCUUCAGUUCUGGGAAAUCCCUGUGCAUCUAUAAAGUGGUGCUGCACUAUUGCUAAUGAUUAUUUCACCAACCUCUUAGAACAGAAAAACUCACAGAAACAGAACAGCUUCCUUUCUUAUAAAUUGGAAAAAAUUAAAAUGUUGAUGAUGAUCUAAAAGGUGAAAUCAAGAAGAUCAAAGAGAAGGGAAGAAAAAAGAUGGUUUAGGAGUAAAGGAAGAAAAAGCUGAGGAAAAGGGAUGGAAGUAUAUUUACAUGAUGAAAACUAAGCACCUUCAAAAACAUAAUAUCAGUUUUGAUCAACCAAAUACAAAAUAAUGAUUUUCCCAAUUUGA